GUGUUAGUAGAGAGGAGAGACGGUGGGCGUCUUCCCUGACAGGUACGAGAACAGCCUUCCGGGGUUUACCUGUUAUGACACAUCCGGCCACACUAUACACAUCAUGAGAAGUUCAUCUUUUACAUUUUAUUU